rnacentral:rRNA from 1 species
UGGGGAAUAUUGCACAAUGGGCGCAAGCCUGAUGCAGCCAUGCCGCGUGUGUGAAGAAGGCAUUCGGGUUGUAAAGCACUUUCAGCGGGGAGGAAGGCGUUAAGGUUAAUAACCUUGGCGAUUGUCGUUACCCGCAGAAGAAGCACCGGCUAACUCCGUGCCAGCAGCUGCGGUAAUACGGUGGGUGCAAGCGUUCAUCGGUAUUACUGGGCGUACAGCGCACGCAGGCGGUCUGUAAAGGCGGAUGUGUAAUCCCAGGGCUCAACGUGGGAAGUGCAUUAGAAAAUGGCAGGCUAGAGUCUUGUAGAGGGGGGUAGAAUUCCAGGUGUAGCGGUGAAAUGCGUUGAGGUCUGGAGGAAUACCGGUGGCGAAGGCGGCCCCCUGGACGAAGACUGACGCUCAGGUGCGAAAGCGUGGGGAGCAAACAGG